rfam:Schistosoma mansoni, Puerto Rico, WGS project CABG01000000 data, contig: 0183
GCACUGCUGAGGAGUCCACAAUAGAACGAAACGGCCGUCCAGUAC